GAUGAACGCUGGCGGCGUGCCUAAUACAUGCAAGUCGAGCGAACAGACGAGGAGCUUGCUCCUCUGAAGUUAGCGGCGGACGGGUGAGUAACACGUGGAUAACCUACCUAUAAGACUGGGAUAACUUCGGGAAACCGGAGCUAAUACCGGAUAACAUGUUGAACCACAUGGUUCAACAGUGAAAGAUGGUCUUGCUGUCACUUAUAGAUGGAUCCGCGCCGCAUUAGCUAGUUGGUAAGGUAACGGCUUACCAAGGCAACGAUGCGUAGCCGACCUGAGAGGGUGAUCGGCCACACUGGAACUGAGACACGGUCCAGACUCCUACGGGAGGCAGCAGUAGGGAAUCUUCCGCAAUGGGCAAAAGCCCGACGGAGCAACGCCGCGUGAGUGAAGAAGGUCUUCGGAUCGUAAAACUCUGUUAUUAGGGAAGAACAAAUGUGUAAGUAACUAUGCACGUCUUGACGGUACCUAAUCAGAAAGCCACGGCUAACUACGUGCCAGCAGCCGCGGUAAUACGUAGGUGGCAAGCGUUAUCCGGAAUUAUUGGGCGUAAAGCGCGCGUAGGCGGUUUUUUAAGUCUGAUGUGAAAGCCCACGGCUCAACCGUGGAGGGUCAUUGGAAACUGGAAAACUUGAGUGCAGAAGAGGAAAGUGGAAUUCCAUGUGUAGCGGUGAAAUGCGCAGAGAUAUGGAGGAACACCAGUGGCGAAGGCGACUUUCUGGUCUGUAACUGACGCUGAUGUGCGAAAGCGUGGGGAUCGAACAGGAUUAGAUACCCUGGUAGUCCACGCCGUAAACGAUGAGUGCUAAGUGUUAGGGGGUUUCCGCCCCUUAGUGCUGCAGCUAACGCAUUAAGCACUCCGCCUGGGGAGUACGACCGCAAGGUUGAAACUCAAAGGAAUUGACGGGGGCCCGCACAAGCGGUGGAGCAUGUGGUUUAAUUCGAAGCAACGCGAAGAACCUUACCAAAUCUUGACAUCCUCUGACCCCUCUAGAGAUAGAGUUUUCCCCUUCGGGGGACAGAGUGACAGGUGGUGCAUGGUUGUCGUCAGCUCGUGUCGUGAGAUGUUGGGUUAAGUCCCGCAACGAGCGCAACCCUUAAGCUUAGUUGCCAUCAUUAAGUUGGGCACUCUAAGUUGACUGCCGGUGACAAACCGGAGGAAGGUGGGGAUGACGUCAAAUCAUCAUGCCCCUUAUGAUUUGGGCUACACACGUGCUACAAUGGACAAUACAAGGGGUAGCGAAACCGCGAGGUCAAGCAAAUCCCAUAAAGUUGUUCUCAGUUCGGAUUGUAGUCUGCAACUCGACUACAUAAAGCUGGAAUCGCUAGUAAUCGUAGAUCAGCAUGCUACGGUGAAUACGUUCCCGGGUCUUGUACACACCGCCCGUCACACCACGAGAGUUUGUAACACCCGAAGCCGGUGGAGUAACCUUUUGGAGCUAGCCGUCGAAGGUGGGACAAAUGAUUGGGGUGAAGUCGUAACAAGGUAGCCGUAUCGGAAGG
rnacentral:rRNA from 1 species